rnacentral:tRNA from 1 species
GCCAAAGUGGUGAAAUCGGUAGACACGCAACGUUCAGGGCGUUGUGCUCGCAAGGGCAUGGGGGUUCGAGUCCCCCCUUUGGCACCA